rnacentral:rRNA from 1 species
GACGAACGCUGGCGGCGUGCCUAAUACAUGCAAGUCGAACGCAGUGGGGACGGGUGAGUAACACGUGGGUAACCUUCCCAUCCGAGGGGAUAACACUUGGAAACAGGUGCUAAACCGAUACUGAUGGACGGACCCGCGGUGCAUGAGCUAGUGGGAGAGGGAACGGCUCACCAAGGCCACGAUGCAUAGCCGGCCUGGUAGGGUGAUCGGCCACACUGGGACUGGGAGCCGGCCCAGACUCAUACGGGUGGGAGCAGUAGGGAAUCUGCGGCAAUGGCGGAAAGGUUGACCGAGCAACGCCGCGUGAGUGAAGAAGGUUUUCGGAUCGUAAGGCUCUGUUGUUAAGGAAGCGGUACUUAACCAGAAAGGGACGGCUAACUACGUGCCAGCAGCCGCGGUAAUUC